CAUUAGGAGGAAUUUCCUCAUAGAAAGGGUGAUUAGAUAUUGGAACGGGCUGCCCAGGGAACUGGUGGAGUCGCUGUCCCUGGAGGUGUUUAAGGAAAGACUGGAUGUGGCACUCAGUGCCAUGGAAUAGUUGUCAAGGUGGUGUUAGGGCAUGGAUUGGACUCGAUGAUCUCAGAGGUCUUUUCCAACCUAAUUGAUUAUCUGGAUAUGCCUGUAACAAAUGCUCUUCUGUGAAAAGAUGGGGGGGGAAAAAAAAAAAAAAACAAAAAACCCACAAAAAACCCCAAACAAACAACAACAACAAGAAAAAAAAAAAAAACAGUGUGAAACUUGGUUUUCAGGAAUGCUGGAGCCAUUGUGAACUAAGGGAGUUCAUCGCCUUUGAAAACACAGGAUUUUUUCUGAAGUGUGCAGUGUCUUUGAGUCCACCACUCAAAGGCGGGGAAGCUCCGUACAUUGCAGCACCACGGUAGCGUGGGACGCUUCCUUGCAUGAGGGGGAAAAGAGGCUUUCACUGCCUAAAGGGAGCGCUUCCCUGCUGCUUCAUCUUGUAACAGAUAAAGGGAGAACAAAGACAAGAUGGAUUUACUGUUUUUAUCCUUACUUUGCUUUUGAUGUUAUAGAUUUUUCUCAAGAGCUCUGUUUCUAGUUGACUCCCCCUUUGAGUUUAUGUUAAGUCUCCAAAGCUUAUUAAUUAUUCAUUAGACUGCGGGGCCUCUGCAGCCAGUUUAGCAAACGCUUUGCUGAUCUCAACUCCCUGUUGCAUCUAAGUGUGCACAAAAUAUUUUGCGGGCUUAAAUUUUUGCUGACAGCCUUCACUACAGGUAAAGUACCAUCACAUCACAGUAGGGAAUUGCUGGUCAUUCCAUGGCUUUUUUUGGCAGCCACCUUCUUUGUGUCUGGCCACAGGGCAGGCCCAUCAGUAUUACUGACCUCCUUCAGAGAUGAGCUCUCUAGUUGGCAUUGGAGGGUUAUUGGCUUGAGGUCCUCUACAGGUUUUCUCCAAAAGUCUGCCUUUGGAUUAGAUUUUGUUCUGAAUGAAAAUUCCUGCAGCGCUGUUUCUCAGAUGGGGCUGUAAUUUUGGUGGCCAAAUUCUGCUGGACCUCUUCCAUUGGCACACCAGCACAGAAAGAUUAGAGUGUCAGACAGGCCUCCCACAUCAUAUAUGUGUAUAAUUUGGCUCUUGUUUUUGAUGCCAGUCUGCAGUCUGCCAGGAUGGAAGGAAGAGGAGAGGAAGAUCCCUAAGGAAAGCAGCAAAGGGCCUGAUAGCCAUGGUGCAUGUAUCACAGCCAGAGACUUUAUCAACAGAGGAAACUCACAUUUCCAGCUGUGCUGCAUGAGGAGCCUUGCUGUGAACCAUCUCCACAGUGGAUGUAACCAAAAGGCAUUGACUGGGAAAAAAUUUAACCUGAAGAAAGAAGACAUGUAUGAAACAAUUCAUGACACAGAUUUGUGGUUGGAUUAGAUUUUUUGUUUUGUUCCCCCAAAAUUCUCUAUUUCAAGUUGUUUUUCCUGAGGAGAAAUGUACUGGAGAAACAUAGCACACCUUGCAUGUCUUAACAAUGUGGCUUUGGCAUAAGUUUGUACUAUAGGUUCUCUAGGGUGGGGUAGAAGGUAUCCAUUGUCCUGUCUCAGCUUCCUUCACUCUGCCAUGAUAAGCUCUUGUCUUUGCAUGCCAGGCCGCAAGUUUGGACUUCAGCACCUCAGGAGUGAGGCAGAGUCCUGAUUUGUGCACAGAAAUCAUUGGCUGUUCUCCUCACAGGAUUUUCCAGCAUUUACAGGUUUUUUAGUGUCCUUGAACUAAUACAUUACUUAGACUCAGUCCUCAUGUCAGGAACAACUAAGAAACAAUGAACAGAAACAAUAUGUUCCUGUUCUAUAUAUAUUUACAAAGAGCCAUCUGCACUUACAGAAGAUAGGAAAAGGUUUACAUCUCCUCAGCAUGUGUAAUUUUUUUUCAUUGAAAGCUAGACUGCUACUAGGGUGUUUUGUUUCUACUUCUUUAUGGUUCUUGCCAAGUUGGGGAAGAAAGCGAUGUGCUUGCACAGGUGAAUUUUUAUGGCAGUUUUUCAAGUCUACUUUUAUGGCAACAUCUAAGCAGUACAUAACCAUUCCCUCAACAGUAAAAAAGACCAUUUUUAUCCUA